rnacentral:rRNA from 1 species
GACGAACGCUGGUGGCGUGCUUAACACAUGCAAGUCGAACGAAGUGGCGAACGGGUGAGUAACGUGUAAUCAACCUGCCCUUCAGAGGGGGACAACAGUUGGAAACGACUGCUAAUACUGCAUACUGAAGGAGGGGAUUGCGUCUGAUUAGCUAGUUGGAGGGGUAACGGCCCACCAAGGCGAAGAUCAGUAGCCGGUCUGGGGGGAUGAACGGCCACAUUGGGACUGGGGCACGGCCCAGACUCCUACGGGGGGCAGCAGUGGGGGAUCUUCCGCAAUGGACGAAAGUCUGACGGAGCAACGCCGCGGGAGUGAUGACAGCCUUCGGGUUGUAAAGCUCUGUUAAUCGGGACGCGGUACCGGAAUAGAAAGCCACGGCUAACUACGUGCCAGCAGCCGCGGUAAUAC